UGGGGAAUUUUGUACAAUGGGGGAAACCCUGAUGCAGCGACGCCGCGUGAUUUAGAAGGCCUUCGGGUUGUAAAAAUCUUUUCUAUGGGAAGAAAAUGACAGUACCAUAGGAAUAAGGACCGGCUAAUUACGUGCCAGCAGCCGCGGUAAUACGUAAGGUCCGAGCGUUGUCCGGAAUCAUUGGGCGUAAAGGGUACGUAGGCGGGUAAGCAAGUUAGAAGUGAAAUCCUAUAGCACAACUAUAGUAAGCUUUUAAAACUGCUCAUCUUGAGGUAUGGAAGGGAAAGUGGAAUUCCUAGUGUAGCGGUGAAAUGCGCAGAUAUUAGGAGGAAUACCGGUGGCGAAGGCGACUUUCUGGCCAUAACCUGACGCUGAGGUACGAAAGCGUGGGUAGCAAACAGG
rnacentral:rRNA from 1 species